rnacentral:lncRNA from 1 species
UGUAUUCUUGUAUACUCUUUGCAUGUAUCAGCCUGUAUUUGUCGACUCUCUCUAGAGUGAUCUCACCACUGUACCAAUAGUAUAGACAUCACCAUGUAUACACUGAAUAUAACAUGUAUCAACUUGUAUAUAACAGACUACCUUCGUUGAUACAAUCUGCAUUCGUCCUCUCUAGCCUCUCUCCUCUCUUUUCCAAAUCUUGCUGACAUCUCUCCUCUAUCAGACUGUAUUCAUUGUAUUUCUUCAAAUACAACCUGUAUCUGUCCUCUCUAGCCUCUUUCCCCUCUCUUCUAAAUCUCGCUCGCCUCUCCUCAUCCCUCGCCAAUCGCAAUCUCUCUCGCCUCUCUCCUCUGUAGAACUAUUGUUAUGAAUUAUGAAUACUCAAAAUAUAGCUCAGAUUUAUAAUUAAUGCUCAAAUGAUGGUCAUUUCUGAAAUCUCCUUAUAAAUGUUUACAAAGUGCAUGCAUACAAAUAAAAACCUAAUUUCCAUUUUUUUUCCCUUUUAUUAAAUGGAGAUGAAAUUUCCAUAAUUCUUUUAAAUUAUGAGCCACGGGAAAAUUGAAGGAAACAAGGGAGGAAAUUACAACGUAGAAAUUGAU